UACAGAGACUGCAAGCGUUUAUUCGGAUUCACUGGGCGUAAAGGGUGCGCAGGCGGUUGGGUGUGUCAGAUGUGAAAUCCCGAGGCUUAACCUCGGAACUGCGUCUGAAACUACUCGACUAGAGUACUGGAGAGGGAAACGGAAUUCACGGUGUAGCAGUGAAAUGCGUAGAUAUCGUGAGGAACACCAGAGGCGAAGGCGGUUUCCUGGACAGUUACUGACGCUCAGGCACGAAAGCAUGGGGGAGCAAAAGGG
rnacentral:rRNA from 1 species